GCUCCAUCACUCCCUGGCAGGCCUCAGUAACGGCCACGACUCUGCUCCACUUCCUGCGACGGAUCCCACGCGGCUCCAUCACUCCCUGGCAGACCCCAGUAACGACCACGACUCUGCUCCACUUCCUGCGAUGGAUACCGCAUGGCUCCUCCACUCUCUGACAAGUCACGACAACGGACGCCGCUCCACUCCCCGCAGCAGACUCCACGUGGCAGGUCCCGGUGAUGGCCACGAUUCCACUCCACUACUCUUCACAACAAACUCCUCCUGACCCCG
rnacentral:lncRNA from 1 species